rnacentral:rRNA from 1 species
UAACUAGCUGUCCGGGUUCAUGGAAUUUGGGUGGCGCAGCUAACGCAUUAAGUUAUCCGCCUGGGGAGUACGGUCGCAAGAUUAAAACUCAAAGGAAUUGACGGGGGCCUGCACAAGCGGUGGAGCAUGUGGUUUAAUUCGAAGCAACGCGCAGAACCUUACCAGCGUUUGACAUCCCGAUCGCGGAUUUGAGAGAUCAUUUCCUUCAGUUUGGCUGGAUCGGUGACAGGUGCUGCAUGGCUGUCGUCAG